GAUGAACGCUGGCGGCGUGCCUAAUACAUGCAAGUCGAGCGAACAGAUAAGGAGCUUGCUCCUUUGACGUUAGCGGCGGACGGGUGAGUAACACGUGGGUAACCUACCUAUAAGACUGGGAUAACUUCGGGAAACCGGAGCUAAUACCGGAUAAUAUUUCGAACCGCAUGGUUCGAUAGUGAAAGAUGGUUUUGCUAUCACUUAUAGAUGGACCCGCGCCGUAUUAGCUAGUUGGUAAGGUAACGGCUUACCAAGGCGACGCUACGUAGCCGACCUGAGAGGGUGAUCGGCCACACUGGAACUGAGACACGGUCCAGACUCCUACGGGAGGCAGCAGUAGGGAAUCUUCCGCAAUGGGCGAAAGCCUGACGGAGCAACGCCGCGUGAGUGAUGAAGGUCUUCGGAUCGUAAAACUCUGUUAUUAGGGAAGAACAUACGUGUAAGUAACUGUGCACGUCUUGACGGUACCUAAUCAGAAAGCCACGGCUAACUACGUG
rnacentral:rRNA from 1 species